UUCGCGUCUGUCGGGUCUCUAUCCAAACUGUAAUUGACCUCUUGUGUGCCUCCUGAGACAGCCGUCGUGCACAAACUUGC
rnacentral:rRNA from 15 species